rnacentral:rRNA from 1 species
UACGGAGGAUGCGAGCGUUAUCCGGAUUUAUUGGGUUUAAAGGGUGCGUAGGCGGGCUUUUAAGUCAGCGGUAAAAAUUCGGGGCUCAACCCCGUCCGGCCGUUGAAACUGGGGGUCUUGAGUGGGCGAGAAGAAGGCGGAAUGCGUGGUGUAGCGGUGAAAUGCAUAGAUAUCACGCAGAACCCCGAUCGCGAAGGCAGCCUUCCGGCGCCCUACUGACGCUGAGGCACGAAAGUGCGGGGAUCGAACAGG